rnacentral:rRNA from 1 species
AGUGAACGCUGGCGGUAGGCCUAACACAUGCAAGUCGAACGGCAGCACAGUAAGAGCUUGCUCUUACGGGUGGCGAGUGGCGGACGGGUGAGGAAUACAUCGGAAUCUACUUUUUCGUGGGGGAUAACGUAGGGAAACUUACGCUAAUACCGCAUACGACCUACGGGUGAAAGCGGGGGAUCUUCGGACCUUGCGCGAUUGAAUGAGCCGAUGUCGGAUUAGCUAGUUGGCGGGGUAAAGGCCCACCAAGGCGACGAUCCGUAGCUGGUCUGAGAGGAUGGUCAGCCACACUGGAACUGAGACACGGUCCAGACUCCUACGGGAGGCAGCAGUGGGGAAUAUUGGACAAUGGGCGCAAGCCUGAUCCAGCCAUACCGCGUGGGUGAAGAAGGCCUUCGGGUUGUAAAGCCCUUUUGUUGGGAAAGAAAAGCAGCAGGUUAAUACCCCGCUGUUCUGACGGUACCCAAAGAAUAAGCACCGGCUAACUUCGUG